rnacentral:rRNA from 1 species
GAUGAACGCUGGCGGCGUGCCUAAUACAUGCCAGUCGAGCGAACAGACGAGGAGCUUGCUCCUCUGACGUUAGCGGCGGACGGGUGAGUAACACGUGGAUCACCUCCCUAUAAGACUGGGAUAACUUCGGGAAACCGGAGCUAAUACCGUAUAAUAUAUUGAACCGCAUGGUUCAAUAGUGAAAGACGGUUUUGCUGUCACUUAUAGAUGGAUCCGCGCCGCAUUAGCUAGUUGGUAAGGUAACGGCUUACCAAGGCAACGAUGCGUAGCCGACCUGAGAGGGUGAUAGGCCACACUGGAACUGAGACACGGUCCAGACUCCUACGGGAGGCAGCAGUAGGGAAUCUUCCGCAAUGGGCGAAAGCCUGACGGAGCAACGCCGCGUGAGUGAUGAAGGUCUUCGGAUCGUAAAACUCUGUUAUUAGGGAAGAACAAAUGUGUAAGUAACUAUGCACGUCUUGACGGUACCUAAUCAGAAAGCCACGGCUAACUACGUG